rnacentral:lncRNA from 1 species
AAAAUGAAGAUCUUAACUUAAUUGCAAUGUCUACAGAUUAUAACUUCUAUAUACCAUUAAUGAGACCACUGGAACUUUACCUGACACCUCGGGUACCAUCAAAAGUACACAGACCAAUCUGCGAGCAGAUUUUCUUUGGUUGGGUCUGCAACGCGCAAGGGGGUGAAUGAUAAGUCAAAAUAAUUUGCACAACAUUUGAUUUGUCAAACAUAUUUUAUUAGCUAGUCCAAUAUUAAGCACACUAACCUCAGACAAAAGUAAAUCUAAAAUGGUCUGCCCGUAUUGAUCCACGACAGUCUUGCACUGCUGGCUAACAACUCCAGCUGCUCCAAUAGCA